rnacentral:lncRNA from 1 species
UCGUUGGUAAGUCAUAAAAACGUUAAGCCCUACACUAUGUUAAUGUUAUUGUUAUAUGUCAUCGAAGAAUAGACAUUACCUGUUAUUUCAAAUCAUGUUAGGAAUAUAGUGGUUUACCAAUAAAAUGUUCUAAAAUCUAUACACACAACCUAUAUUUAGUGAGCAACCAUUUAAGGGCAUACGACACAGUUUUGAUCCUGUAUUUACAUUUUAAUAAAAUUUGCAUGUAGGCUAUUUUUUACCUGAUUAAAUCAAAUAUGUAAUAAAAA